CGACAGUGACGUGUGUUGCCGUAAAGCGUUUUUCCCGCCAUGCGGAGAGUUGAUGACGCGGCGCAGUUCACGUGGUUCCACCUUGAGCCCUCCUUCCAUGUCCGUGCGUCCUUGGACAUAACAGGAAUGUCAUGUCGUGAGGGUGCUGGAGCCUAUCCCAGCUGCAUGUGGGCAGAAGACGGUGUACACCCUGGACAAGUCUCCACUUCAACGCAGGGCCAACACCGAUACACAGCCCCCAAUAUACUAAUUGCUUGUAUUUCGUCAUGUGACUUCUUAUAAGAGGAGCUUGACAACGUAACAGCAGGCGUAAACCACGUUACUUAACUUUUACAGACUAAAGUUGGAGAAGAUGUUCAGGACAAAAGGUGGCAUUGCGGGACCCAAAAAGGGACCUUGUCGGGUUCACUAUAUAAGGCUUGCAGGGAGAUGGAGCCUAUCCCAGCUGACUUCAAGUGAAAGGCAGGGUCCACUCUGGACUGUUACCAGUCCUUCACAGGACACACAGACAGGGGAACAUUGAAACUAGACCAGACGUCAUCUGCUGCUUGAUAAAGUACCUUGGGGAGCCAACUACUGAAUGAAAGAACACUUACCAGGAUGUCAUCACUGAAUCGCUCCAAGAAGAAUAUUCUGCAUUCAGUGGCAGGACAUCAGCCAUUAGCCUUCACUCUGCUACUUGGAGACAUCAAAAUAGAGUUAGUAUUUUCUUAUUCUUGUGUCAAGAUGGCAUUGGUGCCUUUCUGACAUCACAUGUGAGACUGUGUGCUGGCUGUGGUUAGAGAAGACCAUCAAGUGUCCAUCUCCUUGUUUGAGUGGACACAGCAGGAAGACGUUCUCCACGCUGAGCUUCAUUAAGCUGCACAUGCACUUAACCUUACAUUUACUCCAUUCAUGAAUGUGUUAGUUUUUUUUCUCAACUACUUUGGAGGUCGGAUAAAUUGAAAUAUCAACAUCAUACGGCGGAAGAAAGACUCCAUAUUUAUAUGAUGGAGUGAUAUUUACUUCCACGGCUGCUGCUUAAUUCGACGUCCAUGCUCAAGGUUGGAUGUACUUUUGAACUUAGAACAAAAACAAGGGUGAUGUCAAAUUAGAGCUGCGAGAUUUACCGGUAUUUUAGAAAGCCAUAUGUAUUUCAGACAGUAUCGCUAUACCUUUUUUUUAUAAUAUUUUCAUGCUAUGUUACAGCGUGAAAUUAAUAACUAAUACGCUGAAACACAACUAACAUUAACACGCUAACAAUUACCAAGUGUCACAUAAUCAAUUACACUAUUUUUCGGAUCAUAAAAUGCUCCGGAGUAUACGUUUGAUCGGCCGAUAAUGCAUAAUAAGGACGGAAAAAAACAUAUACAUAGCACUGGAGUAUAAGUCGCAUUUUUGGGGUAAAUUUAUUUGAUAAAAUCCAACACAAAGAAUAGACAUUUGGAAGGCAAUUUAAAAUAAAUAAAGAAAAGUGAACAACGGGCUGAAUAAUUUUAUGUUGUAUGACGCAUAAAUAACAAACUGAGAACAUGCCUGGUCUGUUAACGUAACAUAUUAUGGUAAGUGUCAUUCAAAUAACUUUCACAUAGAGAACAUGCUUUUAAGAUUACCAAACAAUCCGUCACUCCUAAUCGAUAAAUCCGAUGAAAUCUUCUUCCUCGAUGUCGUUUCUAAACAACUCUGCCAACUCCAAAGGUAUGCGCCGCUUCCUCUUGUCGUUUUCUGCUGCAUAUUUCACUAGGUCCAGCUUGCAAUCUGCAGUACAUGAUUUCCUUUUCGGUGCCAUUUUUGUUCAGCUCUUCUCAGUUUUUAUAAUGAAAUGAUCCAUUUUAAUAGCUACGGCAGUAGCAUAUAGCAGUUAGCAAUCCAUGACCAAUAAUACACUUCUGCCAUGACCCUACCCCGCCAAAUUCUUAUUGGUCGAUGUGUGUGUGUGACGAUUGCUGACAUUUUCUUCGUUUCUUCCGCGAAUGAGAUAAUAUUAUUUAAUAUUUUACGGUAAUGUGUUGAUUUCACAUAAAUCGCUCCGGAUUAUAUGUCGCACCCCCGGCCAAACUAUGAAAAAAACUGUGACUUAUAGUCCAAAAAAAUACGGUACUUGGUAGGGCAUGGUGCAUGAGAAGAGCAGAGGUAUUGCAUGAAACAGCAUGAACAGAGCAUUAAAAAAAUCAACGACGACACCAGAACGACCAACUGAAAAACCAGGCUUAAAUAAUGACAUGAUUGAGACAGGUGCGUGAGUCCAAAACGUGAGACAGGUAAAACUAAUGAGUUGACAUGGAAACAAAACAAGAGGGUGAAAAAACAGGAACCAUUGGCGUUUUAAACGAACAAAACAUAACUAAACAAAACAUGAUCACAAGACAUGACAACAAGACAUACAAACACCAAACAAAAUAUAUAACACAGAAAAAUGUAUGAAACAAAAAACAUUUCUACAUCAAAUUUCUACGUCAAAUCUUCUAACAUAUUACCAUCCACAAGCAAAUGUUUUCCAUUUCAGUCAGUCAUACAAAGUUGAAGAUGUUAUAUUUUGAUGUUUUCGUAGAUCAUUUUGAUGAUGUUUAGGGACUGUUUGACCCUACUCCACCUUAGACUCGCCAUCAAAUAGUCCCUCUUCAUCAGCAAAAUGAUCUGCAAACAACACAUCCAAAUCAAACAUAUCCCCUUCAUAUUGAGCACAAAAACCACACAGAAUGGCUUUGUGGUCACUGAAAUAAGUUGACACCACUUCACAGUCACUUCACAUUGUUUUCACAUAAACAUAGUCAAUUAAUGUCCCAUUUUCUGUAGUCUCUUGUUACAUGCUGAUAAAAUCCAUUUUGGCCCAUUAAUUUACAAAUUGAUGUAUGUUUGAGAAGGUCUUCAUUAAAAUCUCCCAUUAUAAGAUUUUUUACCGAUUGGAUUUACCCAUUCAAGUAACUUAACCAGAUUUGAUUUAAAAAGUGAAUUUGGAUAAAAUGGCGGACGAUAAAUUACUGCCAUCAAAAUGUUCUCUCUGGUAAACAGGCACACCAAAGACUCCAGAUUUAAAUUGGGCACCUGCAGAAUCUCACAGUCCGAAUUAUCUACAACAAAGAAACCCACUCCGCCAUGUUCUAGAUCUUUUAUCUCAGAUAAUUUGACAUCAUUGCUGCUGUAACACAAGGCUCGAGGACGCCUGUGGAAAGUGUAUCCCUCCAUUUGGACUCAGUCUGUUGAGGAUUGUGCACUGAGCCACUUCUCUGUGACAGCAAUACAGUUAGGCUGUAAAUGCUGCGUGCAAGACACCAAAUGAGCGGCGUGGUAACUUAAAUUUCAAACGUUCAUUAAACACAAAAAUAAUUGUGAGUUUCUAAUAAAGGCUGUGGCUGUUCAAUUAGAAAUGGGGGCAUGCUAUCCAAUGCCUCCUUGACGAUGUCCUUGCAGUAAAUGGCAUUUUCCUAAAAAUCUCUGAUCACAAGUCCGGACAUAUCCCUGAGGGGCGACAUACGCCUGCCCAGCUGCAGAAACCCUGCCUAAACACACAACAGCCUCCUCUAGAGUUAGACCUUGCACUUUGUGAACAGUGCAGGCCCACGCGAGUUUAAGAGGAAACUGACGAGGCAAACCGCCACGUUUUUUUCGCCGAAUCCUCCACAGGAUCAAUGGCAGUAGAAUGCAUGCAUUCUACAGCAGCAUGGGAACGCUGCUUCCUCCUUUGUGAGCCUAUUUUUGAAUCGUCAAAUUUCUUAUAGACUGCGAGGGGUGAGUCUUUAUUUGCUCCAAAUUGAACAUAAGUCACCGUUCCAUGUGCGCCAUUGACCAGACCGUCUGCUACGUCAACAUUUUUGCAAAGCAUUACACGUGCUUUCGGAGCUUAACACAAACUCUUGGCCAAACACGUGUAUGGUGUUUUGCCGUGAUGCCAGACUAUGCGCUUUAAUUCGCCCGACUUCCUACUGUUAAUAAAAUCCUGGGCCUUGAUUGUAACAAUCUAGACAGGUUGCGAAUAACCGCUCCAGAUUAUGCGCGCUGGUUUGCAUAUUCGUGGGAUAAAUAUGCAAAGCUGCGCACUCAUCCCCCGUCUCCCGGGACUUGAGGAUAUCUACGUCGCUUUUCAAUAAUUGGGUUUGCUUUGACCGAACUCUAAGUCUAUUUAGCAGUUCAGAAAAUACACUAUCUUUUUGCCUCACAAUUUUUUUUAGUGCUACUUUUGUAAAAUGACACUAGAGGUCCACAUUCACCUGACUGGUGUAAAGUGGCCUACCUUUGACGGGUGGCAACUGAUAAAAGUCAUCGACAGCUACAACACUAAAGUAGCCAAAUGGAAAAAAGUCCCCCGUCUGUUUAAUUUGCCUUAACCGGCCAUGCACAUAAGCUAAAAGAUGAUCUACCAUACUGAUUUCGUCAAUGGUUAGAAUUUGUAGGUGACCAAAUUGAGCCCUCAAGGAGUUUAUCUUAUCUUCACCCAGAGGGAUAUACGGUAAACUUAACCUGCAUGCCAAUAUUGAAGGUGUGGUGAAUUGUGGCUGCAUGUAAAUUGUAUGCAGCUAAGCCUUUGGGAGCCGUUAAGAGUACGCAGGUUUCACCCGGUUGGUACAGACGCGACAAUAGUCUCCCUGCCUCGUACUGGAAAGCUCUAUCCAGUGGUUCUUAACCUUGUUGAUGGUACCGAA